AGUGAACGCUGGCGGCAGGCCUAACACAUGCAAGUCGAGCGGCAGCGCGGGGGCAACCCUGGCGGCGAGCGGCGGACGGGUGAGGAAUACAUCGGAAUCUACCCAGUCGUGGGGGAUAACGUAGGGAAACUUACGCUAAUACCGCAUACGACCUGAGGGUGAAAGCAGGGGACCGCAAGGCCUUGCGCGAUUGGAUGAGCCGAUGUCCGAUUAGCUAGUUGGUGAGGUAAAGGCUCACCAAGGCGACGAUCGGUAGCUGGUCUGAGAGGAUGAUCAGCCACACUGGAACUGAGACACGGUCCAGACUCCUACGGGAGGCAGCAGUGGGGAAUAUUGGACAAUGGGCGCAAGCCUGAUCCAGCCAUGCCGCGUGUGUGAAGAAGGCCUUCGGGUUGUAAAGCGCUUUUGUCCGGAAAGAAAUCCUGUCGGUUAAUACCUGGCGGGGAUGACGGUACCGGAAGAAUAAGCACCGGCUAACUUCGUGCCAGCCGCCGCGGUAACAC
rnacentral:rRNA from 1 species